UCCACAUGACCAUCCAGACCGCCGUGCUCAUCGAGACCCUCACCGCCCUCGGCGCCGAGGUCCGCUGGUGCUCCUGCAACAUCUUCUCCACCCAGGACCACGCCGCCGCCGCCAUCGCGCGCGACUCGGCCGCCGUCUUCGCCUGGAAGGGCGAGACGCUCGAGGAGUACUGGUGGUGCACCGAGCGCUGCCUCGACUGGGGCGCCGGCGGCGGCCCCGACCUCAUCGUCGACGACGGCGGCGACGCCACGCUGCUCAUCCACGAGGGCGUCAAGGCCGAGGAGGAGUUCGAGAGGUCCGGCAAGGUCCCCGACCCGGCGUCCACCGACAACCCCGAGUUCAAGAUCGUGCUCACCAUCAUCCGCGACGGGCUCAAGACCGACGCCCGCAAGUACCGCAAGAUGAAGGAGAGGCUCGUCGGCGUCUCCGAGGAGACCACCACCGGCGUCAAGAGGCUCUACCAGAUGCAGGAGUCCGGCACCCUCCUCUUCCCCGCCAUCAACGUCAACGACUCCGUCACCAAGAGCAAGGUAUACUUCCUUCCUCUGUUCCCGUUUUCCAUUUCAGAUCUGAUGCUCUGUGCCAGCGAGCUUCUACUUGUUUGAGCGUAGUAGUAUUGUUUUACAUGUUUAUGUUGUAGAUCUGAUUAUUUUAGUAUUUAGAUCUCGUUGUUGCCUAGUUUAGAUAAGGCUCAGUGGUGAAGCAGCGCUGCGGUAUUAGACCUAGAUCUGUGUUUUUGUCUGUGGGUUUAGUGUCUGUUACGCUGGUUGUCAACUACUAUCUGACUAGCUAAUAAUAACAUUAGUCACAUGUUUUCUGAAUCUGACGGCGAUGGAGGGUCUAAUUAUAGAACGACCUGCUUGACAAACGAUGGAGGGUCUAAUUAUAGAACGACCUGCUUGACAAAUUUUAUUAUGUUAGCAUGAAACACUGCUAUGUCAUGCACUGAAUUAUGUGAUUUAUUCUGUGCAGUUUGUUUAAUGUUCUCUUGUUUUGUUUUAAUCAGAAGGUAGAAUGAAAUGACAUGUUAAUCUUGCUAACAAUUUAUGUAUUAAAAGCAAACACUAAUCUAUGUGUCUUCUGAACAGUUUGGCAACAUUUACGUUUGUUCUGUAUCUUCCUCUUUGGGUUUAGUGUUUGUUAUGCUGGUUAACCAACUUACUAAUAAUAACAUUAGUUGAAUGUUUGCUGGAUCUGACGGCCAGGGUGGGUCUGAAUAUAGAAUAUCAUUCGAGCAUGAAGCAUUAUGACAUGCACUGAAUCAUGUUAUUUAUUCUAUUUAGUUGUUUGUUUAAUCAAUUUACUCUUGGUCUGCUUUAACCGAAAGGUAGAAUGCAAUGACAUGUUCACCUUCUAACAGUUACUGACCUAUAUUGAAAAGAAAAACACUAAUCUGAGUUUACAACCUUUACGGUAUGCCAUGCUUGAUUAUGUGAUUUAUUCUUAGUAAUUGUUGGUUCAAUGUACUCUUGCUCUGUUUUAAUCAGAAGUUAGAAUGCAUGGCAUAUUCACCUUGCUAGGAAAUACUAAUCUGGAGUAUGUUUCUUGUCAACAGUUUGACAACCUUUACGGUUGCCGCCACUCGCUCCCUGAUGGUCUUAUGAGGGCCACUGAUGUUAUGAUCGCCGGCAAGGUUGCUGUGGUCUGCGGUUAUGGUGAUGUUGGCAAGGGCUGUGCCGCUGCACUCAAGCAGGCUGGUGCCCGUGUGAUCGUGACAGAGAUUGACCCCAUCUGUGCCCUUCAGGCCCUGAUGGAGGGUAUCCAGAUCCUCACCUUGGAGGAUGUUGUCUCUGAUGCUGACAUCUUUGUGACCACCACUGGAAACAAGGACAUCAUCAUGGUGGACCACAUGAGGAAGAUGAAGAACAAUGCCAUUGUCUGCAACAUUGGUCACUUUGACAACGAGAUCGACAUGAACGGCCUCGAGACCUACCCUGGUGUCAAGCGCAUCACCAUCAAGCCUCAGACUGACCGUUGGGUCUUCCCCGAGACCAACACUGGCAUCAUUGUUCUUGCUGAGGGCCGUCUGAUGAACCUUGGCUGUGCCACUGGCCACCCCAGCUUUGUCAUGUCUUGCUCAUUCACUAACCAGGUAAGAUCAGUGUGUAGUCUACUGGCAACUAGUAUGAGUUAACAGCUGAUACAAGUAUGAAGUUAACAUCCAAUUUUGUGCUUUCCUUUAGGUCAUUGCUCAGCUCGAGUUGUGGAAGGAGAAGGCCACCGGCAAGUACGAGAAGAAGGUGUAUGUUCUCCCCAAACACCUCGACGAGAAGGUCGCCGCCCUCCACCUGGGCAAGCUCGGUGCCAGGCUGACCAAGCUCACCAAGGCCCAGUCUGAGUACAUCAGCAUCCCAGUUGAGGGUCCCUACAAGCCUGCGGCGUACCGGUACUAGUGUGUGUGUGUCCAGCACGACUAGCGGCUGGCCUGAGCGGCGGCACUCUGCCACGGCGACCUAUGAACCUGUUUUCCUUUGCAUUAUCUAUCUAGAUAUAGGUGUGUGUUCUCUUAGGUGGAGGAUUUGUCACGGUUAUGUUUUUAGACCGGUGAGGGUGUGGUGGACGGAGGUGGCGUUUGCUUUUGCCCAGAAAUAAUGGUGUUAUUAUUUUGGAUUUAAAUGAGGAGGUGUGAUUUGCCGG
rnacentral:lncRNA from 1 species